GUCCCUAUAGCUCAGUUGGAUAGAGCGACCGCCUCCUAAGCGGUAGGCCGGAGGUUCAAAUCCUCUUAGGGACG
rnacentral:tRNA from 2 species